GUGGGGAAUCUUGCGCAAUGGGCGAAAGCCUGACGCAGCGACGCCGCGUGGGCGAAGAAGGCCUUCGGGUCGUAAAGCCCUGUUGGGGGGAAAGAAGACCGACGGUACCCCCUGAGGAAGCCCCGGCUAACUCCGUGCCAGCAGCCGCGGUAAGACGGAGGGGGCAAGCGUUGUCCGGAAUUACUGGGCGUAAAGGGCGCGUAGGCGGCUUUUCGAGUCGGUUGUGAAAGCCCCGGGCUCAACCCGGGGAGGCCAGCCGAUACUGGGAGGCUUGAGUGCAGGAGAGGGAAGUGGAACUGCCGGUGUAGCGGUGGAAUGCGUAGAUAUCGGCAGGAACACCCGCGGCGAAGGCGGCUUCCUGGACUGCCACUGACGCUGAGGCGCGAAAGCCAGGGGAGCGAACGGGAUUAGAUACCCCUGUAGUCC
rnacentral:rRNA from 1 species